rnacentral:tRNA from 1 species
GGAAGGUGGCGCCGACUGGGCGGCAACCGGUUUCGAAAGCCGGGCCAUGUCGAUGGGCAUGAGGGUUCGAGUCCUUCACCUUCCUCCA